AGUGAACGCUGGCGGUAGGCCUAACACAUGCAAGUCGAACGGCAGCACAGUAAGAGCUUGCUCUUACGGGUGGCGAGUGGCGGACGGGUGAGGAAUACAUCGGAAUCUACUUUUUCGUGGGGGAUAACGUAGGGAAACUUACGCUAAUACCGCAUACGACCUACGGGUGAAAGCAGGGGAUCUUCGGACCCUGCGCGAUUGAAUGAGCCGAUGUCGGAUUAGCUAGUUGGCGGGGUAAAGGCCCACCAAGGCGACGAUCCGUAGCUGGUCUGAGAGGAUGAUCAGCCACACUGGAACUGAGACACGGUCCAGACUCCUACGGGAGGCAGCAGUGGGGAAUAUUGGACAAUGGGCGCAAGCCUGAUCCAGCCAUACCGCGUGGGUGAAGAAGGCCUUCGGGUUGUAAAGCCCUUUUGUUGGGAAAGAAAAGCAGCAGGUUAAUACCCCGCUGUUCUGACGGUACCCAAAGAAUAAGCACCGGCUAACUCCGUG
rnacentral:rRNA from 1 species